AGUGAACGCUGGCGGUAGGCCUAACACAUGCAAGUCGAACGGCAGCACAGUAAGAGCUUGCUCUUACGGGUGGCGAGUGGCUGACGGGUGAGGAAUACAUCGGAAUCUACUUUUUCGUGGGGGAUAACGUAGGGAAACUUACGCUAAUACCGCAUACGACCUACGGGUGAAAGCAGGGGAUCUUCGGACCUUGCGCGAUUGAAUGAGCCGAUGUCGGAUUAGCUAGUUGGCGGGGUAAAGGCCCACCAAGGCGACGAUCCGUAGCUGGUCUGAGAGGAUGAUCAGCCACACUGGAACUGAGACACGGUCCAGACUCCUACGGGAGGCAGCAGUGGGGAAUAUUGGACAAAGGGCGCAAGCCUGAUCCAGCCAUACCGCGUGGGUGAAGAAGGCCUUCGGGUUGUAAAGCCCUUUUGUUGGGAAAGAAAAGCAGCAGGUUAAUACCCCGCUGUUCUGACGGUACCCAAAGAAUAAGCACCGGCUAACUUCGUG
rnacentral:rRNA from 1 species